rnacentral:RNase_P_RNA from 1 species
UUAUGAUAAGAAAACCUUGUGAGGAAAAGUCCGGGCUCCACCGGAAAUGAUGCCGGGUAAUAACCGGGGGACUGUUUUUCAGUUCACAGAUAGCACUACAGAAAAUAACCGCCUGCACUCCUUGGGUGUAGGUAAGGGUGAAAAGGCGGAGUAAGAGCCCACCACACCUGUGGUAACACAGGUGGUAUAAGUAAGCCUCAUCAGGAGCAAGAUUGCGCAGCGGAUUGAUAUUCCGGUCUUAUGCCGCGGGUAAAUCGCUAGAGAUAUCUGGCAACAGAUAUUGCAGAUAGAUGGCCAUAUAAUCCAGAACCCGGCUUAUUUUU